CAGUAUCCAGUCCUAGUGGAGCCAGCAUCUGAGAAAGAUAUAUGCAAGGUCAGACAGAUAGCUAAGGGCAAAACCUGCAUUUCAGAAGGUUCUUCCUCCUUCCGGCUGUUUCAUUAGUUUGUGAGCUAAGUUUUAGAAAUUUGGCUGAUCCUAUUCUACUACUCCAGUUGAAACAAAGUACUUUUUGGGAAGAGAACUGACAACAAUCUCAUGGACCUUAUCCCCCAGGACUCUUCUAAGCAGAUCUUUGAAGAGGCCAAAGUCUGCUCUCCUGAAGUCAAACGCUGUAAGAUUGCUUAUUGCCCACCUUCCUGCCAUCAAGAUCUUGAACUCCACCAUCUCAUGGUCACUGCACCUCACUGUGUCUGUGGCUUUCAUCUUCACAUCCCCAA